UGGUAGUGAGUCAUCUAGGCA
rnacentral:misc_RNA from 1 species